UUCAUUUCAAUCGAUAUUAUCUCUCUCUCUGAAAAGCUCUCUGAAGCUUCUACCUAAUCGACUCUCUCUCAUCUUGUUCUUCGAUUUCGUCUGGAUUUCUUGAUGUUAUCAUGGUAUCAGAGCAAGGACGAUGAUCCGACGAUGCUUUCCUGUAUCUUGUUAUCUCGGUUGAAGUCUCGUCGGAAAUUUUUGGGGGUGUUUCUGACGUAUUUG
rnacentral:lncRNA from 1 species